AAAAAAUCUAGAAGAUAAAAUUGAGAAAAGCUCUUAGUUCUUUCCUCACUAAAAAUUUUUCCUUUUCAGAAUUCUUUUUGGGUCACACUUUUUUUUUUUAUUUAACAAGGGUAAGUAUUAAUUGGCAGAGCUUAACUAUCCUAAUUGCUUAUGACAAAAUGGAUAUAUGAAAUGAUACAUGAAAUCACACACACAGUUUAAAAUAAGGGCUAAUUAAAGGAAAAUAAAAUACUUAAUCUCAGAGCUGAGAACGAUUUGUAGAAUGAUACUGCUUGACUUGGGGAGAUAAAUCAUUAAAUCUAAAAUUCCAUUAGAAAAUUAAUUUCUUUUCAAAAACUUAUGUUAGAGGUCACCAUUAAGACAUCCAACUGGUAUGUGAAUUUUUUCUCGAUUAUUUCAUGAAUAUAAGUCAAUUCCUCAAAGGAUAAACCCCCAUUGUAAGCUUAAGGGCUAUAUUCUAAAACUACUUCAUGUCUCUUAUACUAAAUAAAACAUCAGAUCUAUUACAAUAGAAACUUUCCUUUAGUAUUUUCCCUUUUAUUGUCAAAACCUGCCCUUACUCAGCUUUAUUUUCAUAUAUCCAUAUAUGUCUUAGAAAGUAGCAUCUUCAACAACUUUCCUUUAUUCUAUCUAGACAUGACUUCUUACUCUUCAGGAUACAGUUGCAGCAACACAUCCUCUGUUCUUCUCUGACGGCGUUUACACAUCACCCUGUAUUUGUGUGCCUGUCUCUUCUAGUAGUGUGCAUGCUUAGUUAGUCUUCUUUAAGCAGAAUAAUAAUAAUAGUUCUGUUUCAUGAUUUCCAAUUUACAAACUUUCCUCAAACAUUAUUUUUAUUUGAUUCUUAUAAUAAACGUAUGAAAGUGGCAAUUUUAUAAUGAAAUUGAAAAUUGUAUUCAACGUUCUUUGUAAUUCAAAAAAUCUGCCUUCAAACCCAAAUACCUCAUUAUCUAGAAAAGUAUAUACUUAGAAAAGUUAUCCUCAGCAAACUAAUACAGGAACAGAAAACCAAACACCACAUGUUCUCACUUAUAACUAGGAGCUAAAUAAUGAGAACACAUACACAUAUAGAGAGGGAAAACAUACACUGGGAUGUUUUGGAGGGUGGAGGGCAGGAGAAGGGAGAGGAUCAGAAAAAAUAACUAAUGGAUACGAGAUUUAAUACC
rnacentral:lncRNA from 1 species